AGUUGUAGAAUCACUGGUGAAUAAGGGGUGGGCAAGUUCUGGUGUCAGCCGCCGCGGUAAAACCAGCACCUCGAGUGGUCAGGAGGUUUAUUGGGCCUAAAGCAUCCGUAGCCGGUUGCAUAAGUUUUCGGUUAAAUCUAUGCGCUUAACGUAUAGGCCGCCGAAAAUACUGUGCAGCUAGGGAGUGGGAGAGGUACACGGUACUCGAUAGGAAGGGGUAAAAUCCUUUGAUCUAUUGAUGACCACCUGUGGCGAAGGCGGUGUACCAGAACACGUUCGACGGUGAGGGAUGAAAGCUGGGGGAGCAAACCGGAUUAGAUACCCGGGUAGUCCCAGCUGUAAACGAUGCAGACUCGGUGAUGCAUUGGCUUGUGGCCAAUGCAGUGCCGCAGGGAAGCCGUUAAGUCUGCCGCCUGGGAAGUACGUACGCAAGUAUGAAACUUAAAGGAAUUGGCGGGGGAGCACCACAAGGGGUGAAGCCUGCGGUUCAAUUGGAGUCAACGCCAGAAAUCUUACCUGGGGAGACAGCAGAAUGAAGGUCAAGCUGAAGACUUUACCAGACACGCUGAGAGGUGGUGCAUGGCCGUCGCCAGCUCGUGCCGUGAGAUGUCCUGUUAAGUCAGGUAACGAGCGAGACCCCUGCGUCUAGUUGCUACCAUUACUCUCUGGAGCAGUGGAGCGAAUUAGACGGACCGCCACAGUUAAUGUGGAGGAAGGAAGGGGCCACGGCAGGUCAGUAUGCCCCGAAACCCUAGGGCUACACGCGGGCUGCAAUGGUAUUGACAUGUGUUCCGAAUCCGAAAGGAGGAGGCAAUCAUCAAACAUAUCUCAGUUAUGACUGAGGGC
rnacentral:rRNA from 1 species